CUUUUACUUGAGUAAUAAAUCUCUAAAGUAACAGUACUCUUACUUGAGUACAAUUUCUGGCUACUCUACCCACCUCUGCCCGUGGUGGACCGCUUGCCUGUGCAUCGGCUGGGAACAUCUCUGCGCUGCUGACCCGUCUCCGCUCGGGAUGGUGUCCUGCUGGCCCCACUAUGGACUGGACUCUUACUAUAAUGUCAGACCCACUCGACAUCCAUUGCAUUCGGUCUCCCCUAGAGGGGGGGGUUACCCACAUAUGCGGUCCUCUCCAAGGUUUCUCAUAGUCAUUCACAUUGACGUCCCACUGGGGUGAGUUUUCCCUUGCCCUUAUGUGGGCUUUGUACCGAGGAUGUCAUUGUGGCUUGUGCAGCCCUUUGAGACACUUGUGAUUUAGGGCUAUAUAAAUAAACAUUGCUUGAUUGAUUGAUUGAAACACUUGCAGGAAGCGACGGCGAAGAAGGGCAAAGGGAGGUGUACAAAGGAAUAGGACAGUGAUAUGAGUGACCAGGAAGCGACGGCGAAGAAGGGCAAAGGGAGGUGUACAAAGGGAAUGGACAGUGAGAUGAGUGACCAGGAAGUGAAGAAGAAGAAAACAGGGAAAGGGAAAAGAACCAAGCAAACGCCAGUGAGACCAGUGAGCAUUGAGCAGGAAGAGAACCAACAAGAAGGGGCAGGAGUACACUGACGCGCACGACCAAGACCACAGCAUUCCAUUUCUAUUGUAUUAUAAUUAUCACUAAUAAAGAAUUAUUGUUGAUUUUUCUGUUUGAGUGUCAGUCCUGACAAGAUAGCACAAAAACAGAC